rnacentral:tRNA from 1 species
UCAUUAAGUGGCUGAAAGUUUAAGCGAUGGUCUCUUAAACCAAAAUAUGGUAGUUAAAAAUUACCCUUAAUGAA